AUUGAACGCUGGCGGCACGCUUAACACAUGCAAGUCGAGCGGUAGCAUGUUUAGUAGCAAUACUAGAUGAUGACGAGCGGCGGACGGGUGAGUAACACGUAGGAACUUGCCCAAUAGAGGGGGACAACCAAGGGAAACUUUGGCUAAUACCGCAUAUACUCGGAAGAGGAAAGCUGCCUGCAAGGGUGGCGCUAUUGGAGAGGCCUGCGGCUGAUUAGCUAGUUGGUGAGGUAAUGGCUCACCAAGGCUGAGAUCAGUAACUGGUCUGAGAGGACGACCAGUCACACUGGGACUGAGACACGGCCCAGACUCCUACGGGAGGCAGCAGUGGGGAAUCUUGGACAAUGGGGGCAACCCUGAUCCAGCGAUGCCGCGUGAGUGAAGAAGGCCUUCGGGUUGUAAAGCUCUUUAGUGGGGGAGGAAGCGCACGCAUGAAUAGUGGGUGUGGUUGACGGUACCCCAAGAAUAAGCACCGGCUAACUCUGUGCCAGCCGCCGCCGUAA
rnacentral:rRNA from 1 species